GCAGGCUGCAACUCGCCUGCACGAAGUCGGAAUUGCUAGUAAUCGUAGGUCAGCAUACUACGGUGAAUACGUUCCCGGGCCUUGUACACACCGCCCGUCAAACCAUGAGAGUUGGCAACACCCGAAGUCGGUAGUCUAACCGCAAGGAGGACGCCGCCGAAGGUGGGGUUGAUGAUUAGGGUUAAGUCGUAACAAGGUAAC
rnacentral:rRNA from 1 species